AAGACUGUCCUCUCAGAGAUGAUUUCUAUAGUUCAUUACUGGAGAAGUUUCUCUGUGUAGAGAGCAUCAGAAACCACAAGAAAGAAGCGCAGCGGUCUCUCCUGAGUGUGAAGCUGGCUCUUGGUGUUGUUGCUUCUUGGUUCUUCUCUUCCUUUGGGAGAGGAAGAGGGAGAGGAUGCAGUCUUAGUAGU
ensembl:snoRNA U3 Small nucleolar RNA U3